GUUGGGUUGAGACUGCUAUAAAGCCAGAUGGAGGGGCAUGAGAAAAACAGGCUGACUGCAUUCAGGGAUGGAGCCAGCAUCUAUCUUCACUGGGAAUAGAAACCAACUCCUCGAGCACACUUCAGCAAGCUCUUCACUGGCCUGAGACCAACAAUAUCGAUCAAGGGCUACAGUCAACUUCAGUUCUGUCAUACCUUCAUGAUGUUUCCCUUGGGCAAAUCUGCACUACUCAAUAUUCUCAAUAGUGGAACCAUUCAGCGAAUUGCAGCAAGACAGACCCAUAUGAAACACUUACCAAAUUUUCAUGACAAAUAUGGCAAUACUGUGCUAACUAGUGGAGCCAUUUUCUGUGUUACUACAUGGGUGUUUUUAACUACUCAGAUGGGAAUAGAGUGGAACCCAUCUCCUGUUGGCCGAGUUAUUCCAAAAGAGUGGAGAGAAGAAUAAUUACCAUUAAUACUGUAUACAGAAUUGUUUCAAACCUGUUAUGUAAACAUUCCAC